rnacentral:rRNA from 1 species
CACGUAGGGUGCGAGCGUUGUCCGGAAUUAUUGGGCGUAAAGAGCUCGUAGGCGGUGUGUCGCGUCGGCCGUGAAAACCUGCAGCUUAACUGUGGGCUUGCGGUCGGUACGGGCAUCACUGGAGUUCGGCAGGGGAGACUGGAAUUCCUGGUGUAGCGGUGAAAUGCGCAGAUAUCAGGAAGAACACCAAUGGCGAAAGCAGCUCUCUGGGACGGUACUGACGCUGAGACGCGAAAGCGUGGGGAGCGAACAGG